AUCUAAACUUCCCAGUUUGGCGGUCUUGUAAAAGACAUAUUGAUGUGUUUCUGUGACUGUAUGACGAGUCACAUUGAGCUAUCAUGUUGGAGCGGGUCCUGCUCUCCUUCAGAGUGGCGGUCCAGAGCGUGAUGCUAGUGGAGCUACGUCAGCGUGCGACUGCAGGCCGACUGACCUCAAGAACCUCUGCUUGUUUUGUAAAGGCUAGUCACACUAGAGUUGUUAAACUAUGAAGAUCUCCUGCAUGAACCGAUGAACUCUUUACUCUUUCCUCUUCCACUGCGACUGAACAGAGCCGAGACGACCGGGUGUCUGGCAGCUGGUUCUGUUGGACCGGGAGGCGCUGGGUGGCUCCGUGUGGUUCGGUGUGUCACCAAUAAGAAUGCCUAGAUGAUUGGGUCGGACCACAAACAGCUGAUUUAAAGGGGAAUUAGACAGUGACAUCAUCGUGAAACUCGACUGCACUCGAUUUGAUAUGUGACCAUCCGGUUUUUACCAACAUGGAAAACACGUUGACUGAUCCAAUGGUUCAAUGUUAUGCCCCCAAAACAUCUGUUUUCCUUUGGGUCAGAGGUAGCCACGCCAUCGUGCUGCAUGUUACAUCUACAAUGCUCAAUUCUUCACAAGGUUAAGUAGUAAUUCCAAAUGUAGAGAAAUAACUUAAGUUAAACAGUGAAAUGAUGAUCAAUAUGUUGAGGUAUGUUUGUCUUCCUCUUGAGUUUCUUCCUGCGGUGCCGAGUCGACCCAUUGCAGCCGGGUCCCAUGGCUUGAAGUUAACUUGGACUCUGCACAUCUUCUGAACACAUCUAUGUCUCUUGUUGCUGGACAUUUAAUUUAGAUUAACAUAUUAUGCCAAAUUCAAAUUUCUUCAAAAUCAUGUUCUAUUCCCCCCAGUAUCUUACUUCUAAAGGGUCUUUAUUCAUUUUUUGCUUAAGUAAACCAGGAAAAUUAAUGUGAUUAGCAGGCUGAAGGACUGUGGGCCCUGGGGCUCUUACCCAAGCCCCUCCCCCAAGCACCAUUACUCCUGUUAUUGCCUCGUCCAGCCUUUGGCAAACAUUUGCGAUGCUUAGUUUGCAUACAAUAAUGCAUCAACAACUCAUGACGGCAGUUUGAUUGUAUGACUAUUGCGGCACUAAAGCCAUAUAUAUCAUUCUGAUGGCAUAGGGAAGCACACGCUACAGGAACGCUGUCGCCGUCAGAUACACGGCCAGCCUGCCUCUGGCUGGAUGCUGCAGCACGCGGCGGCGCCAGCAGCGUGACGGGGAGCUGUGGCGGCUAGAGGGUUGAUAGCAGAUGCUAACCAACAAUAACAGCGUUGCAUACCCGUUAAACACCUUCUGUGAGAACCAACUCAUUGUGUCUAUUUUAACUUGUGUCUCUACCAGAAUCUCUGGAGAUUGUCAAUCGUUGGAUAUCAGUCUGUUGCUCCUGGUGUGCAUCAGGCUUUCCAGAUACAUUGAGAGAAGGAUUUAGACUUUAUUAUGUAACGAUACGAGAACUGGAACAUCCUCCAUGAGGGAAGAUUGAGCCUCACACUUCAUCCACUGAAGCAGGCCUUCAGCUCACGGCUUGUCUGGAGAAAUGAAGCGUUGUAAUUCCUGAUGUGUUUUACAGAGGGCUGUCGGACACGCCCACAUCCCUGCAGGAAGAACUUCCUGCUUGUGUUGUUAUCCUCGUCCUGUCAUAAACUUGCUAUACGAGCUUUUCUUGCUCUCCCUCUCCGUCUCUCUCACACAAUGGAAACCCAUGUCCAAAGCACUUCCUGUGUGUGUCAUGUGGGGGAGCUGUGCAACCGAGAGGACGAGAGGACGCUUUGAGGAACAAAGACCACUGAACAGGGUGUCCGCGGGGCAUUAAAAAGUCUUAAAAAGUCUUAAAUUGCUUUUCCUAAAAAUAAGGCCUUAAAAAGUCUUAAAUUGUCUUAAAUUCAGAUUGGAUUGGUCUUAAAUUUUUUGGGUGUCAUGUAAUUACGAAUAUGAGGCAAUCUGUUCCGCCAGGUCCGUAUUUUGCUCCGGUCGCUCUGCGGUGUCUCUGGUGUCACCGGGGCCACGCCCCUUCUCUUAAAGGGGCCCCGCGUAUUCGGUCCCAUCAAUCCCCUACAACGUGAAGCAUCGGCUACUUUAGAAAACAUGGGGGAUGCAAGUUCAACAACGGCUUGAAAAGAACGAGUGUUUCUGGUCACGGUGGGUGAAAUGCUUCUGAAGCUGCGUUAUGUGUCGGGAGACUUUCCAGCGGUGGAAUCUCACGUGCAGAGCAAGAAGCACAGAGACUAGCGAAGGCCGCCAGCAGCCCGCGGGGCUAGCUGCUGCUCCGCCGCCAGCAACGACGUCAACGCUACAACGCUGGAGGUCACCGGAGGAAAUCCAGCGCCGUGAAACGAAGAGCUCAUCACCGAAGUCCAACAGGGCGGCGCGUUCUUCAUUCUGUUCCACGAGACUCUGAACCAGACCACCGCGAGCAGACAGCUGGACUUCAUGUGCGCUCUUGGUGAAAUGACCCGGUCCAGUCAGGAUCCUGUGGAGCUCAUGGGCCGUGACACCAGGACCUACUUCAGCACCUCAAAGAGAAUGGACCAAAUGUCAACUGGAAGUUUUUGUAUUCAUACAGUUUGAAAAGGAUUGUUUUCCUAGUAUAUUCACAAAAGCUCAGGAGGAGACAUGAACCUGUGCACAAACAUCCAUCACAUAGAGACAUGAGAACUCUCACUCACUCGCUCACACACACAUACAUUCUAUUAUGUAAAUAUAUUUGCAUUUUAAAAGCAGCUGGAAAUGUUAUUUAUGUUAUAGAUUUUUUUGUUCAAAAGGAACUAUGUUGCACGUAUUAUAAAAAUAUAUUUACUUGAUUUUAUAGACAUUUGUUCAUGGGACUUAAAUGUUCUGAAAAUGUAUUAAUAAAUAUAAUUUACAACAGCAAUGCCAUUUGUGUUAUCCUUUUGCAUUACACCAUACUGUUAAUUUUGAACAGACAUCAGUGUGUUUACUUUGAAUUAAUUAAUUUAGAUUCAUGUAUAUUUCCUUCGUACGUUAGGUCUUAAAUUUUAUUUAGACGUGGUCUUAAAAAGUCUUAAAUUUCACUGGUUUAUUCCUGUAGACACCCUGCCACUGAAGAGCUUUCAUCGCUCUUCAAGUUGUCUGUUGGAUUGGACCAUUUGGUUCUGACCUUUUUUAGUUUAUCUGAAACUGGCCAGCUUUCCAUCAUCUUUGGAAGUGCUCUGUUGUGUUGAGCGUUGUAGCUUUUGAAUUAGCUUCUUUUCCAAAGCGCUCGUCUGCCAGCUGAUUCUUGUAUUGGUGAAGCUUUUAGCCAAACGAGCUACCAAGUCGGUUUCUGUUUUUAUUGGCUAUGUCCUAUAUUUCCGUAUAAGUGGCUCUUUGUAAGUGCGCCACAUAUAAACCCUUUUUGUAUUUUAGAUGUUUUAUAUUUGGCAAAACUGAAGAUAAAGAGAAAAUGGCAGUGAAAUGAGAAUUGAGAAUUUCAUCAAGCCCAUUUGUUUUGUCCAUUUCAUUAGCAAUGGAGCUAACUAGACACCAGGGACAACAACGAGCAUCACAACCUCAGCCAAAACUCCACUCUUUAAAAAGAAACAAGAGAUAAGUGUCCUUCACUGCAGCGGCCAUCUGGUCCAUCAGUGUCGGCGCACUUCUGUCCCUGGAGGGUUUCUCCAGCUGGGUUCUGGUUCUGAUGCCGAUCCUCUCGAUCCAUCCGUUCUGCUGCCGACGGGUCGACUCCCUCGACAUCGCCGAGUCCCCAGCAGACUGUUAGUCGACACCUGACUGUUUCAGGAUUGUUGAAGUCCGGCUAUGGCACAAAAGGUGUCGCCUCUUCUUUUCAAGGCACCCUGCGAUGAAGUGUCCUCAUUCCCAUCGUGUCUCCGACACAGAGGCACACAUGUAGACGCCUGCUGUGUGGUCACAGGCUGAGGAGACAGAAGUGAGUGUUCGGGGACCUGGCUUUGCUUUUGGCUAGAAUAUAUCAUAUGGGCAGCACGGUGGCUCAGUGGUUAGCACUGUCGCCUCACAGCAAGAAGGCCCUGGGUUCGAAUCCCGGUCGUCCCGGUCGUCCCAGGUCCUUUCUGUGUGGAGUUUGCAUGUUCUCCUCGUGUCUGCGUGGGUUUACUCCGGGUCCUCCGGUUUCCUCCACCAUCGUAAAGACAUGCACCGCAGCCUCACCCCGGUCAUAUGGAUGUGAAUGAAUGUUGGUGGUGGUCGGAGGGGCCGUAGGCGCUGAUUGGGGGAGGGGCCGUAGGUGCUGAUUGGGGGAGGGGCCGUAGGCGCUGAUUGGCUGCCACGCUUCCGUCAGUCUGCCCCAGGGCAGCUGUGGCUACUGAUGUAGCUCACCACCACCGGGAUGACUGUGUGUGUAUGACUUCUGGACUCUGUAAAGCGACUUCGGGUGCCUUGAGAAGCGCUAUAUAAAAUAAAUGAUUAUUA